CUGGAUCACGAUGAAGAGACAGCUUCUCUCUCUACUUCUCGAUCUCUGCUGCUGUAUGCUUUUGCCGUCGUUCUCUUUCUUGGUAGCACUACAUAUUGGUGAGAUUCCAGACUGGAAAAGACCAAGAAGGAAGAGAGAGAGAGGAAGGUGAAGUAAGGUGGAGUCCCAACUCGGCGACACUGUACUCAAAUCACCAAAGGUUACUGCAGGCAGUAAUGAAGAGGAUACAGAGUGCUUUUUCCAUGGGAAAACGUGGAGGCUGCAAGGGGACUACCUAUGCCGUUUGUGAUGCCCAACCUCCUCCCCUUCUGACUUUUGUUUGUGGAGGACCUGUUUUCGUUCUCAGCUCUCGAUGCUGCCCUGUGGCGGCAGCAGCAGCAGCAGCAGCAGCAGAGGUAAAAGAAGAGGACAGAGACACCGCCA
rnacentral:lncRNA from 1 species